GGGGUUGUGGCUCAGCAGUAGAGCGCUCGCCUAGCACGUGUGAGGCCCUGGGUUCAAUUCUCAGCACCACA
rnacentral:tRNA from 1 species